GACGAACGCUGGCGGCGUGCUUAACACAUGCAAGUCGAACGGUAAGGCCCCAGCUUGCUGGGGUACACGAGUGGCGAACGGGUGAGUAACACGUGGGUGACCUGCCCCACACUUCGGGAUAAGCCUGGGAAACUGGGUCUAAUACCGGAUAGGACCGCACCGUGAGGGUGUGGUGGAAAGUUUUUCGGUGUGGGAUGGGCCCGCGGCCUAUCAGCUUGUUGGUGGGGUAAUGGCCUACCAAGGCGGCGACGGGUAGCCGGCCUGAGAGGGUGGACGGCCACAUUGGGACUGAGACACGGCCCAGACUCCUACGGGAGGCAGCAGUGGGGAAUAUUGCACAAUGGGCGGAAGCCUGAUGCAGCGACGCCGCGUGGGGGAUGACGGCCUUCGGGUUGUAAACUCCUUUCACCAUCGACGAAGGUUUUCUGACGGUAGAUGGAGAAGAAGCACCGGCUAACUACGUG
rnacentral:rRNA from 1 species